UUUAAGCCCUAAAUAUGAAUUAAACUUCUUAUAUUA
rnacentral:tRNA from 1 species